CAACCAUCAAGCGCCCGCGCUUGUGUUGGAGCCCUGCGGCCGCCGCAGCCUCCCAAACCCAGUGGCGGGCUCGUCGUCGUACCGAGUGCAGUAAACAUACCACGCUCCGGGCACGCGACGGGUCACCGGCCGUUAAACCCCCCACAUCUCAA
rnacentral:misc_RNA from 1 species